rnacentral:rRNA from 1 species
CUGGCUCAGGAUGAACGCUGGCGGUAUGCUUAACACAUGCAAGUCGAACGGUCACUUAGGUGAUAGUGGCGGACGGGUGAGUAACGCGUGAGAAUCUAGCUCUAGGUCGGGGACAACCACUGGAAACGGUGGCUAAUACCGGAUGUGCCGAGAGGUAAAAGGCUUGCUGCCUAGAGAUGAGCUCGCGUCUGAUUAGCUAGUAGGUGUGGUAAGAGCGCACCUAGGCGACGAUCAGUAGCUGGUCUGAGAGGAUGAUCAGCCACACUGGGACUGAGACACGGCCCAGACUCCUACGGGAGGCAGCAGUGGGGAAUUUUCCGCAAUGGGCGAAAGCCUGACGGAGCAAUACCGCGUGAGGGAGGAAGGCUCUUGGGUUGUAAACCUCUUUUCUCAGGGAAUAAAAAAAUGAAGGUACCUGAGGAAUAAGCAUCGGCUAACUCCGUGCCAGCAGCCGCGGUAAUACGGAGGAUGCAAGCGUUAUCCGGAAUGAUUGGGCGUAAAGGGUCCGCAGGUGGCCCUGUAAGUCUGCUGUUAAAGAGUGAGGCUUAACCUCAUAAGAGCAGUGGAAACUACAGAGCUAGAGUGCGUUCGGGGUAGCAGGAAUUCCUGGUGUAGCGGUGAAAUGCGUAGAGAUCAGGAAGAACACCGGUGGCGAAAGCGUGCUACUAGGCCGUAACUGACGCUGAGGGACGAAAGCUAGGGGAGCGAAUGGGAUUAGAUACCCCAGUAGUCCUAGCCGUAAACGAUGGAUACUAGGCGUGGCUUGUAUCGACCCGAGCCGUGCCGGAGCUAACGCGUUAAGUAUCCCGCCUGGGGAGUACGCACGCAAGUGUGAAACUCAAAGGAAUUGACGGGGGCCCGCACAAGCGGUGGAGUAUGUGGUUUAAUUCGAUGCAACGCGAAGAACCUUACCAAGACUUGACAUGUCGCGAAUCCUCUUGAAAGGGAGGAGUGCCUUCGGGAGCGCGAACACAGGUGGUGCAUGGCUGUCGUCAGCUCGUGUCGUGAGAUGUUGGGUUAAGUCCCGCAACGAGCGCAACCCUCGUUUUUAGUUGCCAGCAUUAAGAUGGGCACUCUAGAGAGACUGCCGGUGACAAACCGGAGGAAGGUGGGGAUGACGUCAAGUCAGCAUGCCCCUUACGUCUUGGGCUACACACGUACUACAAUGCUACGGACAAAGGGCAGCUACACAGCGAUGUGAUGCAAAUCUCAGAAACCGUGGCUCAGUUCAGAUCGAAGCUUGCAACUCAGCUUCGUGAAGGAGGAAUCGCUAGUAAUUGCAGGUCAGCAUACUGCAGUGAAUUCGUUCCCGGGCCUUGUACACACCGCCCGUCACACCAUGGAAGCUGGUCACGCCCGAAGUCAUUACCUCAACCUUUCGGGGAGGGGGAUGCCUAAGGUAGGACUGGUGACUGGGGUGAAGUCGUAACAAGGUAGCCGUACCGGAAGGUGUGGCUGGAUCACCUCCUUUUUAGGGAGACCUAAUCCACUCAGAAAUCGAAAGUAACGAAAGUUAUAAAUAGAGGAUGAGAUGGUCUAACCUAGGUCGGUCGCAGAAGUUGAAAAGGCUUUCAAACUAAUAAUUAGGUUCGUUUUGGGCUAUUAGCUCAGGUGGUUAGAGCGCACCCCUGAUAAGGGUGAGGUCCCUGGUUCGAGUCCAGGAUGGCCCACCUGAAAGUAAUGAGUAAUUGCUAACUCGUAAUUCGGAAUUAACGACGAAUUAGGAAUUGAGAAUUACGAAUUAUGAUUUGGGGGUUUAGCUCAGUUGGUAGAGCGCCUGCUUUGCAAGCAGGAUGUCAGCGGUUCGAGUCCGCUAACCUCCACAUGAAAGAGAAAAAGGGAAGUCAGCAACUAACAAGAGAGUUAGACUGCUGGGUAGAACCUAGCCAGAACCUUGAAAACUGCAUAGAAACGCGAAAAAUUAGCAGGCAGACGCAAGUAUCGAAAAGAUAUAGUGUUUGCAGGAAAAAACCAAUUGUUUGUGGUCAAGCUAAUAAGGGCUGAUGGUGGAUACCUAGGCACA